UGCCUUUCAUUGCCAGCUGUCUUCUUAGU
rnacentral:piRNA from 1 species